UACCAUGCAGUCGAACGAUGAUCCCCAGCUUGCUGGGGGGAUUAGUGGCGAACGGGUGAGUAACACGUGAGUAACCUGCCCUUGACUCUGGGAUAAGCCUGGGAAACUGGGUCUAAUACUGGAUACGACCUUCUGGCGCAUGCCAUGUGGGUGGAAAGCUUUUGUGGUUUUGGAUGGACUCGCGGCCUAUCAGCUUGUUGGUGGGGUAAUGGCCUACCAAGGCGACGACGGGUAGCCGGCCUGAGAGGGUGGACGGCCACACUGGGACUGAGACACGGCCCAGACUCCUACGGGAGGCAGCAGUGGGGAAUAUUGCACAAUGGGCGCAAGCCUGAUGCAGCGACGCCGCGUGAGGGAUGAAGGCCUUCGGGUUGUAAACCUCUUUCAGUAGGGAAGAAGCGAAAGUGACGGUACCUGCAGAAGAAGCGCCGGCUAACUACGUGCCAGCAGCCGCGGUAAUACGUAGGGCGCAAGCGUUAUCCGGAAUUAUUGGGCGUAAAGAGCUCGUAGGCGGUUUGUCGCGUCUGCCGUGAAAGUCCGGGGCUUAACUCCGGAUCUGCGGUGGGUACGGGCAGACUUGAGUGAUGUAGGGGAGACUGGAAUUCCUGGUGUAGCGGUGAAAUGCGCAGAUAUCAGGAGGAACACCGAUGGCGAAGGCAGGUCUCUGGGCAUUAACUGACGCUGAGGAGCGAAAGCAUGGGGAGCGAACAGGAUUAGAUACCCUGGUAGUCCAUGCCGUAAACGUUGGGCACUAGGUGUGGGGGACAUUCCACGUUUUCCGCGCCGUAGCUAACGCAUUAAGUGCCCCGCCUGGGGAGUACGGCCGCAAGGCUAAAACUCAAAGGAAUUGACGGGGGCCCGCACAAGCGGCGGAGCAUGCGGAUUAAUUCGAUGCAACGCGAAGAACCUUACCAAGGCUUGACAUGAACCGGAACGGCGCAGAGAUGUGUCGGCCACUUGUGGCCCGGUUUACAGGUGGUGCAUGGUUGUCGUCAGCUCGUGUCGUGAGAUGUUGGGUUAAGUCCCGCAACGAGCGCAACCCUCG
rnacentral:rRNA from 1 species